ACGUAGGAGGCAAGCGUUAUCCGGAGUUACUGGGCGUAAAGGGCGUGCAGGCGGUUGGCUAAGUUCGUUGUGAAAGCGCCCAGGCUUAACCGGGCGAGGACAAUGAAGACUGGUCAGCUAGAGGACGGUAGAGGGGUGUGGAAUUCCGGGUGUAGUGGUGAAAUGCGUAGAUAUCCGGAGGAACACCAGUGGCGAAGGCGACUUUCUGGCCUGUUCUUGACGCUGAGGCGCGAAAGCUAGGGGAGCAAACGG
rnacentral:rRNA from 1 species